rnacentral:rRNA from 1 species
UAGGGAAUAUUGGACAAUGGGGGGAACCCUGAUCCAGCCAUGCCGCGUGGAGGAAGACUGCCCUCUGGGUUGUAAACUCCUUUUAUAUGGGAAGAACCGUCCUCAUUGAUGAGUGACCUGACGGUACCAUAGGAAUAAGCACCGGCUAACUCCGUGCCAGCAGCCGCGGUAAUACGGAGGGUGCAAGCGUUAUCCGGAUUCACUGGGUUUAAAGGGUGCGUAGGCUGAUAUGUAAGUCAGUGGUGAAAUCAACGGGCUCAACCUGUUAACUGCCAUUGAUACUGUGUAUCUUGAAUAUGAGAGAGGUAGGCGGAAUGUUGCAUGUAGCGGUGAAAUGCUUAGAUAUGCUACGGAACACCGAUUGCGAAGGCAGCUUACUAUUUCGUAAUUGACGCUGAGGCACGAAAGCGUGGGUAGCGAACA